UCGAGGGGAAACGACGGGGAAGCUUGCUUCCUUGGGCGUCGACCGGCGCACGGGUGAGUAACGCGUAUCCAACCUGCCUCUGACUGAGGGAUAACCCGUCGAAAGUCGGCCUAAUACCUCAUGGCAUCGUCUGCGGGCAUCCAACGACGAUUAAAGAUUUCAUCGGUCAGGGAUGGGGAUGCGUCUGAUUAGCUGGUUGGCGGGGUAACGGCCCACCAAGGCGACGAUCAGUAGGGGUUCUGAGAGGAAGGUCCCUCACAUUGGAACUGAGACACGGUCCAAACUCCUACGGGAGGCAGCAGUGAGGAAUAUUGGUCAAUGGGCGAGAGCCUGAACCAGCCAAGUAGCGUGCAGGAAGACGGCCCUAUGGGUUGUAAACUGCUUUUAUGCGGGGAUAAAGUGAGGGACGUGUCCUUCAUUGCAGGUACCGCAUGAAUAAGGACCGGCUAAUUCCGUGCCAGCAGCCGCGGUAAUACGGAAGGUCCGGGCGUUAUCCGGAUUUAUUGGGUUUAAAGGGAGCGUAGGCCGUGGAUUAAGCGUGUUGUGAAAUGCAGGUGCUCAACGUCUGCACUGCGGCGCGAACUGGUCCACUUGAGUGUGCACAACGCAGGCGGAAUUCGUCGUGUAGCGGUGAAAUGCUUAGAUAUGAUGAAGAACUCCGAUUGCGAAGGCAGCUUGCGGGAGCACAACUGACGCUGAAGCUCGAAAGUGCGGGUAUCGAACAGGAUU
rnacentral:rRNA from 1 species